AAGACACAUGGCAGACAGGAUAUAAAGAGAAAACCUCCCACACUGAGUUCUCUGAGUCUUCAUCCAUUCUACAAAACACGGGCUCAUGGAGGCAGCCUCUUAUUUGGACUCUCUGGUUCGUGCUCCAAACCACACUGCAGACAAUUGCCAGGAAAACACUCAGCAAGUGUUGGAAGACAUUCCUUCACACCCUAUACCAAUUAUGUGUUCGACGAAGAUCGUAGAUCUUGUAGACCAUCAGCUCCUGUUUCUGCGGUUCCCUCAAUUAGAAAAUGUGCUGCUCGAGGAAAUCUGUGAUAUAUUAUGUGCCCACAUAGCUCACAAAGCCACGAACAGAAUAUGUCUUUGCUCUAUUCUCAAAACCACAUCUAGGUGAUUAGAUGACAAAUGAACAUUUU
rnacentral:lncRNA from 12 species